rnacentral:rRNA from 1 species
UACGUAGGUGGCGAGCGUUGUCCGGAUUUACUGGGCGUAAAGGGAGCGUAGGCGGACUUUUAAGUGAGAUGUGAAAUACUCGGGCUCAACUUGAGUGCUGCAUUUCAAACUGGAAGUCUAGAGUGCAGGAGAGGAGAAUGGAAUUCCUAGUGUAGCGGUGAAAUGCGUAGAGACUAGGAAGAACACCAGUGGCGAAGGCGAUUCUCUGGACUGUAACUGACGCUGAGGCUCGAAAGCGUGGGGAGCAAACAGG